UGAGGGUUGCAGUUUGGUCCUGGAAAUUUCCCAGGGGAAAUAAUACAAUGUUCAAAAUUUCUAUCUGUCCUCUGGAGAGGGUCAUUGGUCGCAGACAUUUUAUUUUAAAAUGUCACCAAGUUUAGAUUCAGAGAAAGGUGAAAGACUAUUAUCAGAAGGCAUUUCCUAGAGAAAACAGGUAACUAUGGAGAUGAAGUAAUGGAGAGGUUCAGACGCUGUGAAUGACUCGUCCUGGCUCCUGUAGCUAAGUGUCCAAGUCUGGACUCAAACCCAGAAAUCUCCAGACCUUUAGAUCACUUCCCUGUGAUCCUCCUGAAGACUUGAAGAAGAGGGCCAAUGA